rnacentral:rRNA from 1 species
UACGAAGGGGGCUAGCGUUGCUCGGAAUCACUGGGCGUAAAGCGCACGUAGGCGGACUCUUAAGUCAGGGGUGAAAUCCUGGAGCCCAACUCCAGAACUGCCUUUGAUACUGGGAGUCUUGAGUUCGGGAGAGGUGAGUGGAACUGCGAGUGUAGAGGUGAAAUUCGUAGAUAUUCGCAAGAACACCAGUGGCGAAGGCGGCUCACUGGCCCGAUACUGACGCUGAGGUGCGAAAGCGUGGGGAGCAAACAGG